UUUUUUCUUUCAUUCUCCCCACAGCGAAAUUCAUGGUUUCCCAAACGUACACGAUUUCAAACCUCAAACUGCCAGCAACUCCACCUUCAAUUUGACCGACAACUGCAUCUCCUCAAACCAAGUUCUCUCUAAUCUCUUCUCUUCACUUGUCUACCCCAGCAGCCUGUCUCAAAAUCAUCCUGAAUCACCAGCGCCUAACCCCUUCCUCUCGUCUUUUGAUUGAUCAGAUCAUUUGCAGAUGUAGAAUGUGGAAUUCCUUAAGAGUUGAAGUAUGAUUGGAAGAACUGAAGACUAUGUGGCACUUUGGGACAUGUCCAGUGGCUUUUCUUUCUUUGCUUCUCGGUUUCAGGUUUAAUGAAAAUUUGUGAAUGUGAUUCAAACAUGAUUAGAAAACCAAUGAAGCAUAAUUACCGAAGAGGGAUGUUGGAAGCAUAUGGUUGUGGAAGUGCUUUUUCUCAGUCUUAUUUUGGUCAGCUUGGUGCCAAAAGAGCCUUUAGUUCUUACAAAUUGUGGUCAGCUUUUACUAACUAAUUAUUGCUGUAAAUAAGAUCACACUGUCAAUUCAUUGAUCCAAAAUACUUCUUAUCUCUUCCACAGCUAAUAAACAAGGCUUUAAUCCUUUUUUGUUGUUGUCUAUUCUACUACAUCUGCAACUUUUUCUUGUUCUAGCUUUUGUCAGAUUACUUCUAACUUUGUCUUCAAUUUUAUUUUGGAAGGGUCAGUAGCAAUAUAACAAUGUUUGCAGGUUCAUUUGGAUACCCUUUAAACUAGUUGUUUGGCUAUUUUAAUUUCAGGUUUUGUUGAUCGCAAGACUUCAACCCAGAAAUUGCUCUAGUAUUAUAAAGGUGUCCAGGUUUUGUUGAGCUCACUUCAAUCCAAAAUAGCUUUAGUAUUACACAAAACGUGUCCAGAAACGAAGUCAAGUUAAUGCUGCAAAUCGAAAUCAGAAAGAGUAUAAUCACUGUGGAGGUUCACGGCCUUACCAAAAACAUAUGGAAGCUGCACUUAAGAAAGGUAAAAAUGUGUCUUUUGUUGAGAAUUGGAGCGUUAUGCAUCAACAUCAUAAUGGUCAAUGGAUCAACGAAGCAGCUGAACAAACAGGGGUUAGCAGAAUAAAAUGUUAGCAGAAUUGAAUCAAACAAAGAUUUAAGUUAGCUGAAGUCCUUGGGGCUGCCUUACUUGAUGAGAUAGAAGUUCCUGUCUCUAUGCAGUUAGAUAUCUUGGCAAAUGGCGUUGGGGUUGCAAAGGGUAGAGGCAUUCGCGGUCUGGGCUAUGGUCCACGGAAGGAACCCGUCCUUUAUUCUGAGAGUGAUAAAUCUACAAAUACUUCCGUGACAGAACAAAAGGUGGUUGAGCUGACAGCCACAGUGGAAAAGCUUUUGAGGCAUAUCAAUCACAUAGAAGAGCAACUUGCUGCUGUUAAAGGGUAUAUUAUUCAUCAUUCUAAUGAUGAAGAUGAUUAUGAUAAUGGGGAUGAUGAUGUGAAUAUCUAUCGGGAUGAAGAUGAGGGUGCAGACUAGCUAUUAGGACUUUAAUAUGUUUUCCGAUGGAACUUUAGUUUUAUAUUAUUAAACUAGGGAACUUGUUUUCGCUAGCUAUUGUCUAUGUAGAAGUGUAGAAACGCAAAACUUCACUUUCUCAGUUAUACUAUCUUUCAUUUAUUUAAUGCAAUUAAAUAUAUUUUUAUUUAGUUUCA